GGAUUUGAAAGCCGCUGUUAUAAAAGACUUUUCAACCUUCAAAUACAACUUUCAAACAAGAAAACAAAAACCAAAAAGAAAGAAAUUAUAAAAAAAUCAAAAUUUCAAAUUUCAAAUUCCCAUUAUUUUAUUUUGUUUUUAUUUUUAUUUUUGAGAUCUUCCUGUUUAGAGCCCUAGAUCCUCUAAUCUUAACUGUUUGUCUUACUAUCUUCUUUCUCAGAUCCUUUUGAUUUUCUUCGCUAAUUUCUCUCGUUAACCUUCUCGGCGGCUUCAUGGAAUUUUGAUUUAUCGCACGCUUGCCGAGUGUAUGAUGGCUUCGGAUAAUUUCUUGUCGGUGGAUGGGCUUGAGGUGGCCCAUCAAAAUGGUGUUUAUCCACAACUUCGAGUGUCUAGGGACGAGAGUGGUAUUUUGGAUAAUGUGAAUGGGAAUGUUGAAGAAACCAUUGAGACUUAUUUGCAGAAUGGAAGGGAUGACAAUGGAACAACUGGGGAAGCUAGAGAAGGAUUGAAUGACUGUGUGGAAAGCAAUGGAUUGACUGAUUCUAAGGAAGGGGAAGUAAAAGGUAGUGUGAAACAAUCUAAACCUCAGAAUGUUCGAGGCAAGACCAAGAAUGAGAAGCCUUUUGGUCCCAAAAAUGUUUCUUCAGCUUUAGCGAAGAAAAGUAAGGAUGAAAAAAGUGCAGGGGUGACAUUGACAGCUUCGAAAGGUGGUUCUGUUGCUACAAGUUCAAGUCCGAAACAUCCUCUUAAAAGUAGAACAUUUAAUGAAAGACAAGCCAAUUCAUCCAAGCAUUCUGAAAAACCUGAUGCAGCCUUCUCUGAAGGCACUAUGGAAAAACCCAAGCUGCAGCCUCUGAAGAAAGGACCUCUUAAUAAUGAUGAAGGAGACACAGAGUCCACAAGCCCUACGGCAGCUGAUGCCAAAGCUCGUAAGCUUGGUACCCUUCCAAAAUAUAGUUUCAGUUUCAAGUGUGAUGAACGGGCUGAGAAAAGGAAAGAGUUCUACACUAAACUUGAGGAAAAGAUUCAGGCAAUGGAAGUAGAAAGGAGCAACUUGCAAGCCAAGUCGAAGGAAACUCAAGAAGCUGAGAUUAAGAUGUUUAGGAAGAGUUUGAACUUUAAAGCAACUCCAAUGCCAAGCUUCUAUCGGGAACCUCCACCUCCUAAGGUGGAAUUAAAAAAGAUACCACCAACAAGAGCUAAAUCUCCAAAGCUUGGUCGAAGAAAAAGCUCAACUCCUUCAGACUUUGAUUGUAACAGCAAUAGUGGCCAUGAAUCAGGCCGGCUAAGUCUAGAUGAGAAAGCAUCUCAGAGCUUCUCUGCCAAAGUAAUUUCUCCUGUCCAUGCAAAGAAGCCACAGCGGAAAUCACUUCCCAAACUGCCUUCUCAGAAGGCCAGUUUGUCCAGUGCAACAAAUGAGGAAAAGACAUCUAAGGCAUCCAAUCAGGGAAAGGUAUCCUCAUCUACAGCAACUACUGAGGGAAAGAUAGCCUCAUCUAAAGCAACAAACGAGGAGAAUACCACCUUGUCUGUUUUGACAAAUGAAGAAUUAUCUCCAGUCCAACAGCAGGAGGCAGCUUCUACAGCUGAUUCAGGUGGAAGUCAGCUCGACAUGGAUCGAGGACCAUUGAUUGGAGAGCAAGGACAGCUGGACUUUGUACAAGAGUCCAUUGCACUGGAGCAUUAAGCAUGACAAUGAAAUUAUAACAGCACCGUGAUCAUCAGUCAACAUGCCCCAAGCGACAUUCGGGUUAAACAAAGAAGCUUGGACCUUUCAGUUAUAAUGAGUGAGAAGAGGGUAGAAGUGGCAGUAAGUCUGUGGAUUCGGAUCAAGUCAUUUUGGGUUAUUUUAGAGAAUCGAAAUACCCGAGCCAGUUGAGUUUGUAUUUGUUAAGGUGGGGUGAAAAUGUCUUAGGAAAAUGCUGAUAAAAUCUCGGAAGGUUACAAGAUUUCGAGAUUCAUACUUUAUCUUCGAAAAAGUUGGAAAUUUGAUCAUCAUAGCUCAGAAUAUGGGAAAUACUGAUAAGGGCAUGGAAGAGGAAUUUAGCCGUACGUAUCAAGGAAGAAAAGGGCAUGUACGAUGGAUGAAAGCAAUUGUGGACAAUGUAGGGGCAAAUGCGACAGCGAGGAAUAACCAAUUAUCAGGAAAGCAAAAAGUUCGAGAAUAUCUUCAAGACGGACGAAAGGGGCAUCGACCAUGGAACCCAGGGCAGAGAUUCUGCCUUUAAGAAGGUUUGGCUUAUAGAACUGGAUUUGGAGUCACUUUUACAAUUCAAACAUUUCUAGAGAACUAGGUAUCCUGAUUCAAACCAACCAUAUGAUCAUUCUAAACUUGUCGAUUUUUAUUUUUUUUAUUAUCAGGAUA